UACGGAGGGUGCAAGCGUUAAUCGGAAUUACUGGGCGUAAAGCGCACGCAGGUGGCUGAGAAAGUCGAUUGUGAAAGCCCUGGGCUUAACCUGGGAAUUGCAGUCGAAACUACUCGGCUAGAGUAUGGGAGAGGACAGUGGAAUUCCCGGUGUAGCGGUGAAAUGCGUAGAUAUCGGGAGGAACAUCAGUGGCGAAAGCGACUUUCUGGUCCUUAACUGACGCUGAGGCGCGAAAAGCAUGGGGGAGCGAACGGGG
rnacentral:rRNA from 1 species